AUCAAUGCAUUGAAAGUGACU
rnacentral:siRNA from 1 species